CAGUCGCCGCGGUAAUGCGUAGGGAGCAAGCGUUGUUCGGAUUUACUGGGCGUAAAGGGCGCGUAGGCGGCGCGGUAAGUCACUUGUGAAAUCUCUGAGCUUAACUCAGAACGGCCAGGUGAUACUGCUGUGCUAGAGUGCGGAAGAGGCAACCGGAAUUCUUGGUGUAGCGGUGAAAUGCGUAGAUAUCAAGAGGAACACCUGAGGCGAAGGCGGGUUGCUGGGCCGACACUGACGCUGAUGCGCGAAAGCCAGGGGAGCAGACGGGAUUAGAUACCCCAGUAGUCCCUGUCUCUUAUAC
rnacentral:rRNA from 1 species